rnacentral:lncRNA from 1 species
UCAGAGAAAACAAGCAACUUUACAAUACGAAUUACCAAAACCAAUCCACACUUUCGUAUUAAUUCUCAAAUCUUGAACAAUUAUCACUAGUAUAACGUGUGUGUGUGAUCAACAUCUAAGAUAACUGAUACCGACCCAAAUUCAAUACAUAAACAACUUCUUAGAAGGAAUCAUACAGUGCAAUCUUAAAAAUUUCAACGAUAGGCACAACCCAACUAAAAUUAAACAAUAACAAAUUCAAGGGUACAUGCAGGAUACUUAUACUUUCUUCUUUCUUUCUUUCUGUUUUUUAACACGAGGGCUUUUUGCUCUUUUCCCGUCAUUAUUCCCUUUUUUUAAAAUAGAUGGUUGGUGAGUGCGUUUUACGCUCCAUCUCAUGCUUGUGUUUAUGGGGAGUGUUUCUCCUCAACCCACCACAAGACUCAACAUGUUUCAUCAUUAUUUUUUCUAUUUUUUUUUCAAAGCUUAUAUACCCCACAUAUACUCCCCCAAACUUAGGUUCUUGCCUAAUUUAAGCCUUUACUGCCUAUCCUUGUCAUUUUCUGGUUCACCCUAGCAUUAUCCUUUAAAAACUAUUUAUGUAUCAAUUUGAACUGACCGGUCAAC